UUUUGACCGUGCAAAGGUAGCGCAAUCACUUGUCUCUUAAAUAGAGACCUGUAUGAAUGGCUAGACGAGGGCUUAACUGUCUCCCCCCUCCAGUCAGUGAAAUUGAUCUAUCCGUGCAGAAGCGGGUAUAAUUAUACAAGACGAGAAGACCCUUUGGAGCUUAAGGUACAAGAUUCAACCACGUUAAACGACUCUAUAAGAAGCAAGAACUUAGUGGCGAAUGAAACUUUACCUUCGGUUGGGGCGACCACGGAGGAAAAAGAAGCCUCCGAGUGGAUUGGGCCAAACCCCAAAGCCAAGAGAGACAUCUACAAGCCGCAGAACAUCUGACCAAAAAUGAUCCGGCUGAAAGGCCGAUCAACGAACCAAGUUACCCUAGGGAUAACAGCGCAAUCCUCUCCCAGAGUCCAUAUCGACGAGGGG
rnacentral:rRNA from 1 species